GACGAACGCUGGCGGCGUGCCUAAUACAUGCAAGUCGAGUGGACUUUCAAGAAGCUUGCUUUUUGAAAGUUAGCGGCGGACGGGUGAGUAACACGUGGGCAACCUGCCUGUAAGACGGGGAUAACUCCGGGAAACCGGGGCUAAUACCGGAUAAUAUCUUUCUUCGCAUGAAGGAAGGUUGAAAGGCGGCGCAAGCUGCCGCUUGCAGAUGGGCCCGCGGCGCAUUAGCUAGUUGGUGAGGUAACGGCUCACCAAGGCGACGAUACGUAGCCGACCUGGGAGGGUGAGCGGCCACACGGGGACUGAGAAACGGCACAGACUCGUACGGGAGGAAGCAGUAGGGAAUCUUCCGCAAUGGACGAAAGUCUGACGGAGCAACGCCGCGUGAGCGAAGAAGGUCUUCGGAUCGUAAAGCUCUGUUGUCAGGGAAGAACGAGUACCGUUCGAAUAGGGCGGUACCUUGACGGUACCUGACCAGAAAGCCACGGCUAACUACGUGCCAGCCGCCGCCGUAA
rnacentral:rRNA from 1 species